rnacentral:rRNA from 1 species
UGCACUGCGCGCAGUAUGGGAGUAGCAACCCAAAGGCGAAGAUAACACAACUGCAAAGUCGUUGCGGGAUUACGGGUGCACCACAGUCCGCGAGGACUGGCUAGCUGUGCCGCCCCUCCAUCCCCGGGUGUUUAGCAACGGAUCUGUAGUGCCGCGGACCCCCCGACAGGGGUGGGCAUUUGCAGAGCCAACGCGACAUACCGCGAGCGCGCAGGAUGUGACCCGAAAGAUGGUGAACUAUGCCUGAUCAGGUUGAAGUCAGGGGAAACCCUGAUGGAGGACCGAAGCAAUUCUGACGUGCAAAUCGAUUGUCAGAGUUGGGCAUAGGGGCGAAAGACCAAUCGAACCAUCUAGUAGCUGGUUCCCCUUCCGA